CGGGCUGUGUGCAUACAUAGCGCCGGACUUCCUGACAGCGCGGGGGCUCCGCCGGCUUCGGGUGUUGGCACAAACGGUCGCCUGCACCGGCUCUCCCUCCGCCAUCCCAUAAUAGACUUCUGCGCCAGCUUGCACUGCUCACACACCUGGAAGCUUCCUCAAGACCCCUGCUUUUUUAAAAUUAAAAAAGCUCACCCCCGGCUUCCGACUGCCACCGAGGGGGACUCACAUCGCACGGCACGGCAAGCAGGACCGGCUGCUGGGUGCCGAGGACGCAGACUUCCACCCUGUCUCCCCAGAGAAAGCCCGCCACAGAUGUUUUUCUUAGCUGCUUCACAAAACAGGAACCGACUAGCUGAGAAGAAAGGCCGUCUCCCCCAGGAAAGGAGUACAAAGCCAGGUCUGUACACAGCAGAUGCAGGCGACGGUCCAUCUGCUACCAGCUCACAGCACCACAUGGAGCUGGAAGAUUUAACGCCGCGCCUGGCCGGCCUGCGUCUCUGUCGACAUCGGCAGAGUGGAGGGAGGGAGCUCCCAAACUUCAAAGGGGUAUGGACAGUGGGGACGGCCCCGGCAAGAAGACCCAUGGGGGGGGGUGGGCACUGACACAGCCAUGUAGACAUGUCCUCAUUCACAAAUAAUAACCACACUACAUAUGUUAACCACAUACCAAAGACCUGAGCAAGCCGCACACAGACUCACACACUUAAGUGUGAAGGCUAUGAAACUUUUAGCUACUCUGAAUUACUCCCCAAGACAGCAGAUCUGUUUUGUAAACCGUAUGGCAGCUCCGAUUAGCACGGUGAAACGAGCUCUGAGAGGCACGUUAUCUGCUAAUUCCGCCAGUCGGAGUAUCAUCGCUACCAGGCUGUUCCUGACCUGCGGCCCGGGGUGCCGCUGCCGCCUUAAGUCUGACCUCCUGUCUCCCCUUCUCCCUCUGGCUGUAGGUACAGUCAGACGCUCAACUAAGUGUUUCUGGUCGGGCUUAAGCAAGAGUCUGGGAACAGGGUGUCCGAUGCCACCGACUGUAGGGUAAGCGAGUACCGAUUCUCCACACCUCAUCUUCAUGCCCCUGCAUUUAAGGAGCAUCUUCGCCAAACGCUCGCUAAUGGGCAGCAUUUAAGUUCACCCGACUCGUCAACUGCAAGAAGACUGCGAACCCAAUUCCUGAUUGAUGCCGCCCAACUAUACAUUGAUAAACGCCCAGGCACAUCCAGCCAAUAACGGAUGACGGCGACAGGUCGAUGAAGCAGUAUGAACCACGCAACGUUUCCAUGCGCCGAACAUUUUGUCAUUGUAAAAUCCACAGCUGUAAAUAUUUAUUACAGUCCGGGAACAGCAGGAGUCAACAAGGCCAGCGUCCUUGAGUGCUGCUAACGUCGCACACUUUCAUAACGCUAAGGAACGGGCGGGGACUGCGCUCUCCGUCAACGACCGAGGGUGAAAAGACAAAACAGGCAUAAUAGAGGUGAAAGCGGAGCUGGGGCAGACAGCGGUGAUUGGGCACACGCCUCCAUCCCUCCUGCUAAUUUCGCUACCUCUAUUUUCCUGCAGGGCUCUGGACAGCCAAUGUCAAUGAGGUCAGACAAUACCACCAGAGCCUUUUUGUCAAGGCAAAAAAAAAAA